GACCUAACCACACGUGUCUUCGUAAUAAUUCAUCCCCACCAUAGUUGUAGCUUUUGAUCUUAAAAGUUACAAGAGCUCAGUUAUUCCACAAAUACGUUCAUACUUUCUGUUUUAAACCCCUUUUAUUUUUUAAUACCCUUGUUUUGUGAAAAAGUAACACCUUUACACAGAGUGUAGUAGUCAGUCGAUAAACAGCUUAAAUUUAUUCUAGAACAGAAAGUUUUGACCGGAGUAUUGUCAAAUUCUAGUAAGCAAGUUGUAAUUUGCAUAAGUUCCAGUGGCAAAUAGUUGAUGAAUGUUCAAGACAAGUUGUCAACAGUCACAUUUUGCUGCACAAUGUUUCUUGCUUGACUCUUAUUAAAGCAACUAAAGGUUCACCAGCAUGUAAAUAUCGUCCCAUUCAGAUAACAAAUUACAAGAACUUAAUAGUAUCAUUGAUUG
rnacentral:lncRNA from 1 species